AUGAGAAGCGCAGCUGAGUCCUGAUGGGGACGGCGCCACUGAAGAGGGAGGACUCGCUGCUGAGCAACCUAGCGGGGCCUUUUUGAAGUUCCAGGGAGGAAGCAGGCGAGCAGAAGCUCCUGGCGGAGGGUGACAGAGCUGGAAUGGAACCCUUGGCGUGCAAGGCAAGCGCUCUACUACUCUACUACUGAGCUACAGCCCCAACUUAAGUGGGAUCUUGCAGGGAGGUUUGGGUCCCCUGCGCUUGGGUCUGGCGCAGGCUACUGAAUGCUGUUGAGCCUCUCCCCGCCCCACCCUCAUAGGCGGCAGCCUCGGCUCACCUGGUUCUCCCAGCCUCAGCAGCCGCAGCUGAAGCUGGAGGGAGAGUUUAAUUGGCAGGCUUUUGGGUUAAAGAGAAAUACCGCUUUGCUGGGGUGGGGACUAGUCGAUGGAGGGGGAAGGGGUUGGAAAAAUACUGAAAGAACCAGCAAAUACAGCCAGGCAACAACAGGAUAUGGAGGCUGCAGAGACGCAGGAGGAAGGGAGAGGGGCCUUGCCAGGCUGGCUUGUGCCACUGCCUAGCAGAGGCCCUCAUCCCCCCUCCAUGCUGGGGACCACCCAGCCUCCCUGCAUCUUCACAGUCCGCUUUCAGGCAGCAGUCUUGGUUAGAAGGCAGGGCUAAUCUGGGACACUUAUUCAUUUAAUUUUAUUACUGUACUGUGGGUACAAGUGUCUGCCAACUCUAAGGCCUUGUCAGUGUUACACCUCUCUAGGCUGGGAGUUGCAGCAUAAUGAAACCCAGAGAACUCUGCCCUGUCCCUCACUUAGUAAUGACUGAUCUGAAGGCCUCUGGGCAAGGGUCUCCUGGGACCACCAUGCGUCAGCUGGGCCAAGCACACGACAACCCUGGUGAGGACCACAAUGCUGAGCUCACAGUCUGAGAGUUGGAGGGAACCCUUGGGAGCCGUCCAGUUCUCCGCCAUCUUGUAACAAAUGAGACCCACGGAGGGGAAGGGUCUUGCCUACCGGCAAACAAUUGGAGUACCUGAAAUAAUUUGGGCCUUCACUGAAUGAUGGCAGGGAGGCAUGAAUGGCGUCUCUUCAUCUUAUUGCAGUUUGGGGGAUCUGGGGGUGGGCAUGUGUGUGCUUUUCUCCCGUCUGUGCCAGCCUCUCUCCAGCUCACUCCUUCCUACUCCCCCAGCCCAAGUGGCUAGCUUGUGUGAUGACCCUUCUGAAAUGUCCUGUGUGGCCCUCACCUUUACCUGCAUGCACUCACAUUUCAUGGUGGCUCUUCUGAAGACUCACCUUUAGACCCCAUGAAGGCAUUUUUUGGGGGGGACCUGAGUGACCUUGGUCCAGGCCCCAUUCCUCCCUGGGCCUCAGCAUCUCCAGCUGUAAGGUGGAGGUGGGGUGGGGCAUUUGGAGGUUUCUAAGCAUCCUUUCCAGCUCUGACAUCUAGGGACUGCCCACAGCUGGUUCGUGGGUCCUCUAGGCCAGGGCCCAUCUGCUGCUCCCUCUGCUUGGGGCAGCAGUGGGAGCAGUACUGGGCCCCAGUGAGCAGCCGAAAGACAGGAAGAUUUGUCACUGAUUCUCCUCGUGUGUCCUAAGCAUCCUAGUCUCCAGCUGCC